rnacentral:rRNA from 1 species
AAAAAAUCUCGAUCUUGGCUAGGUGUUUAUAGCCGAAAAUUUUUUUUUUUUUGGCUAUAACCGAAACC